UCGAUGCCUAAACAUCAAACGACCCGCGAACGCGUUUAAAAACAAACUGUUCGCGUUAGGGGCGGGGGGAAGCAUGCUCUUUGCCUGUCUCCUCCCCUUCCAACGCGUUUAAACAAAACCCCGGCGCAGGUCGCGCCAAGGAACUUGAAAUGAAUUCGCCUGUCCCCUGCCCCGGCCUCGGCGUGCGGGGGAUGGAGCAUUCUAGUCGUAUUACUAA
rnacentral:rRNA from 1 species